AGUGAACGCUGGCGGUAGGCCUAACACAUGCAAGUCGAACGGCAGCACAGUAAGAGCUUGCUCUUACGGGUGGCGAGUGGCGGACGGGUGAGGAAUACAUCGGAAUCUACCUUUUCGUGGGGGAUAACGUAGGGAAACUUACGCUAAUACCGCAUACGACCUACGGGUGAAAGCAGGGGAUCUUCGGACCUUGCGCGAUUGAAUGAGCCGAUGUCGGAUUAGCUAGUUGGCGGGGUAAAGGCCCACCAAGGCGACGAUCCGUAGCUGGUCUAAGAGGAUGAUCAGCCACACUGGAACUGAGACACGGUCCAGACUCCUACGGGAGGCAGCAGUGGGGAAUAUUGGACAAUGGGCGCAAGCCUGAUCCAGCCAUACCGCGUGGGUGAAGAAGGCCUUCGGGUUGUAAAGCCCUUUUGUUGGGAAAGAAAAGCAGCAGGUUAAUACCCCGCUGUUCUGACGGUACCCAAAGAAUAAGCACCGGCUAACUUCGUG
rnacentral:rRNA from 1 species